AUGGGGAUUCGCCACGCCAGCGGCAGCUCUAUUUUAGACGCAUCAAGGCUCCAGUUCAUCUACUGAAGCAGGACUUCGACAUCCUCAAACAAAGCGCAAUGUAAAGCCCAAUACAUAUUUUAGACUCAUGUCAAAACACUCCGGCUAACAGCGACUCGCAAGUAUCCAUUUCAUUUUCCCAUGCUGAGCGCGAUAGUAGUAUAUAUUCGGAAGAGAAUUUUAUGAAAUGACGGAAAGAAAGGGGGGUUUGGGGGAGGAAGCAGAAACUUUUCUCUCCACAUCGCACUCACAUACACUAUGCUGCCCAUUGUUCGAUGUGCACCGAGUUCAUCAAAAACAUUGUACACGCAGCAGCACAUAUUUGGAACCUAGCGUUUUCUUUUUGUGUAUUUUCGUAAUUCAUUUACACCAGUAGAUGGAUGGAGUGGUGAUGGCGUUUAGCGGAUCAAGCAAGGUCUUCAUUCUUCCCUCCGUUGCGGGUUGUGUGUUUGCUGCGCUGGACUUGAAACAAGUUUCAGAAAGUUGAUCCACUCCAUUUUAUAGAGGAAAUUCGAGUACCUGCAAUAUUCAAGCUCAAGUGGACGUUGAGCCCAGGAGAGUACCAGUACUACAGUGUUAACACAGCAGGUGCAAAGGCUAGAAACACCAUGGAGAGCACAAGCAUUGCCUGGAUUGUUCUCCAAGCUAUCCGAAGCUGGGAAGACGAGGAAGGUACACAUUACGUCAUCUGAUUGCGAAGGAAUUUAGGAGUUUAUAUUAGAAGAAACCGAAAACCGUUAGUAUUCUAUCAUCCUAAGUUAGCAAUGAAUAUAACACGGCCAGCAUCUGCCACUAGCAUUCUUUCUUCGCCUUACCAGCCCGCACCGAUUUCAUCACUGAAGAGUCACAGACAACGUGUCAGGAGUUAUUUACCUGCAAGGAAAUAUUUUGGAGAAGGAGAAGGCAUUUCUACAUUUUCUUGCUGGGAGAUAUCUUGCUCCCAUCUCCACAUCAGGUGCUUUUGAAGGCAUCCCUAAAGAGAACGGAUUCGACUGCUGAGUACGAUUUCUAUGUCGGCAGGUAUGCCUUCAAGCUUGAGGCCAUUGAAAUUCGCGUGAAGAGUCCUUGUUGCCUGGAUUUCUUCGCACGUCUUACUUGCGGUUAUGAGUUUUAAGGAAUUUUGAUAUUCAAAGAGUAGCGGUUCUGAAGUGGCUGUUUUGUCAGUCUCUGAAAUUUGUUACCGAACAAAUCCUUGUUCAUUAAUGGCUUUCAGCCAUUGUGAGGAUGACCUCAGUAUUGUUCAACAUUCACCUUGGUUUCCAGCUUGGGAAGAAGAUUGAGCUCUUCGAAAUUUUCUACUAUGCAUUGUCGCUAUGCUUAUGGAGUAGAGCCUGAACUUCUCGUGUUUCCAGAGCUUUGAGAUGUGAUGUAGUUGCUGAUGAGAGCUUAUCUUGGCUUCUUGAGCAGCAUGAAAAAGAAUCACCUUCUCCUUAUAGACUUGAGGCUAUUUCGUGAAGUGGCCUAGAAGUUUCCUAAGAAAAGGGACACCUCUGGGUCCCUCCGUGGUUGUGUUUCUACUUGGUAAGGAUCCACUCUCUUAAUACCUCUGAACUGAAAGAAAUUUCCUCUCUUUAACUAGUAUAGGUUGGGGGGAGACAUCGUUCCCCUCAAGUUUGAGAAGUCAUUACAGGACCAACAUAUUUUCCAUUUCCAAAUUCACCAUGUAAUCCCAAUUCAUCAUGAAGGGUGCUUCGGAGGGUGACUUCAAGGGGUCGCUGUUUUCAUGAGAAAUAUUUCUGGUUAUGCCCUCCAUCUAAGGCUUUACAGCUAUUGCGAAUCACCUCUGAUACUGUGAAGGAUUAACAAUUAGAGAUACCCCUUCAGGAAGAUUCGCCUCAAUCUUCUAGGACGUUCGGUGAGCAUGAAAUGAGUUCCAAAUUUGCAUCUUGGAUAAAAAGAUCCCCGUCGUGGUGCUUGACGCUAAAAUCCUGUUCUAUACCCUGGAAAUCUUAGGUGAAUAGCACAAAAAGCACCUAUUAGCCUAGACGAGUGCCAUCUUUAGGAGAUGUAGAUAACCUAAUAAAGAACACUAAAAGUUUGGUUCAAACAA